rnacentral:rRNA from 1 species
UGCCUACGGGGAGGCAGCAGUGAGGAAUAUUGGUCAAUGGACGCAAGUCUGAACCAGCCAAGCCGCGUGAGGGAAGACGGCCCUAUGGGUUGUAAACCUCUUUUGUCGGAGAACAAAACCCGGGACGUGUCCCGGACUGCGUGUAUCCGAAGAAAAAGCAUCGGCUAACUCCGUGCCAGCAGCCGCGGUAAUACGGAGGAUGCGAGCGUUAUCCGGAUUUAUUGGGUUUAAAGGGUGCGUAGGCGGUCCGUUAAGUCAGCGGUAAAAUUGCGGGGCUCAACCCCGUCGAGCCGUUGAAACUGGCG